rnacentral:rRNA from 1 species
CAGCAGCCGCGGGAAUACGAAGGGUGCAAGCGUUACUCGGAAUUACUGGGCGUAAAGCGUGCGUAGGUGGUGGUUUAAGUCCGUUGUGAAAGCCCUGGGCUCAACCUGGGAAUUGCAGUGGAUACUGGGUCACUAGAGUGUGGUAGAGGAUAGUGGAAUUUCCGGUGUAGCAGUGAAAUGCGUAGAGAUCGGAAGGAACAUCUGUGGCGAAGGCGACUAUCUGGGCCAACACUGACGCUGAUGGACGAAAGCGUGGGGAGCGAACAGGAUUAGAUACCCCAGUAGUCCCUGUCUCUUAUAC